rfam:Atta colombica isolate Treedump-2 unplaced genomic scaffold scaffold295, whole genome shotgun sequence.
AUAAACUGCCAUUUGGUGGUUAUCCUGCUGAAUACGAUCCUGUGAAACAUGGGCCAUAUGAUCCUGCACGCUAUUAUGGAAAACGUGAGUUCGUUUAUAGCA